rnacentral:rRNA from 1 species
UACGUAGGGGGCAAGCGUUGUCCGGAAUCAUUGGGCGUAAAGCGCGCGUAGGCGGCUCGAUCAGUCUGCUGUGAAAGUCAAAGGCUCAACCUUUGAAUGCCGGUGGAUACUGUCGAGCUAGAGUCCGGAAGAGGCGAGUGGAAUUCCUGGUGUAGCGGUGGAAUGCGCAGAUAUCAGGAGGAACACCAAUAGCGAAGGCAGCUCGCUGGGACGGUACUGACGCUAAGGCGCGAAAGCGUGGGGAGCGAACAGG